rnacentral:rRNA from 1 species
AUUGAACGCUAGCGGGAUGCCUUACACAUGCAAGUCGAACGGAGUGGCGGACGGGUGAGUAAUGAAUCGGAACGUGCCCAGUAGCGGGGGGUAACUACGCGAAGGCGACGCUAAUUCCGCAUACUAGUGGUCAGGCCGGUACAGGAUUGGCUAGUGGGGGGGGUAGCGGCUCACCAAGGCGACGAUCCGUAGCUGGUUUGAGAGGACGACCAGCCACACUGGGACUGAGACACGGCCCAGACUCCUACGGGAGGCAGCAGUGGGGAAUUUUGGACAAUGGGGGAAACCCUGAUCCAGCCAUCCCGCGUGUGCGAUGAAGGCCUUCGGGUUGUAAAGCACUUUUGGCAGGGAAGCGGUACCUGCAGAAGAAGCACCGGCUAACUACGUGCCAGCAGCCGCGGUAAUUC